UACGUAGGGGGCGUAGCGUUGUCCGGAAUCAUUGGGGCGUAAAAGCGCGUGUAGGCGGUUCGGUAAGUCCGCUGUGAAAGUCGGGGGCUCAACCCUCGGAUGCCGGUGGAUACUGUCGGACUAGAGUACGGAAGAGGCGAGUGGAAUUCCUGGUGUAGCGGUGAAAUGCGCAGAUAUCAGGAGGAACACCGAUUGCGAAGGCGCUCGCUGGGACGUUACUGACGCUGAGACGCGAAAGCGUGGGGGAGCAAACAGG
rnacentral:rRNA from 1 species